CGCGAAUGGCUCAUUAUUAACAGCUAAAAUUUACUCGAUCUUGACACAAUCCUACUUGGAUAACUGUGGUAAUUCUAGAGCUAAUACAUGCACUAAAGCUCUGACCUUCGGGGAAGAGUGCAUUUAUUAGAACAAAACCAAGCGGCUUCGGCUGUUUUUGGUUGACUCAUAGUAACUGAGCUGAUCGCAUGGUCUUGCACCGGCGACGUGUCGUUCAAGUAUCUGCCGUAUCAACUUUCGAUGGUAGUGUAUCUGACUACCAUGGUGAUCACGCGUAACGGAGAAUAAGGGUUCGACUCCGGAGAGUUCGCCUGAGAAAUCGCGAACACAUCUAAGGAAGGCAGCAGGCGCGAAAUUUACCCACUCUCAGCACGAGGAGGUAGGGACGAAAAAUAACGAGACCGUUCUCUUAUGAGGCCGGUCAUCGGAAUGGGUACAAUCUAAACCCUUUAACGAGUAUCUAUGAGAGGGCAAGUCUGGUGCCAGCAGCCGCGGUAAUUCCAGCU
rnacentral:rRNA from 1 species